GCUGAGAUGACGGAACGGCAACGCGAUGGACUGCAGAUCCAUUUUAUCCCGGUUCGAAUCCGGGUUUCAGCU
rnacentral:tRNA from 1 species